rnacentral:rRNA from 1 species
AUACGGAGGAUCCGAGCGUUAUCCGGAUUUAUUGGGUUUAAAGGGUGCGCAGGCGGCCAUUUAAGUCAGCGGUUAAAUCGUGAGGCUCAACCCCAUUCUGCCGUUGAUACUGGGUGGCUUGAUUGCGGUCGAGGUUGGCGGAAUUCGUUGUGUAGCGGUGAAAUGCAUAGAUAUGACGAAGAACACCGAUUGCGUAGGCAGCUGACCAGACCGCAAAUGACGCUCAUGCACGAAAGUGCGGGGAUCGAACAGGAUUAGAUACCCUGGUAGUCCGCACAGUAAACGAUGAAUACUUGUUUUCGGCGAUAUAAUGUCGGAGGCAAAGCGAAAGCGAUAAGUAUUCCACCUGGGGAGUACGCCGGCAACGGUGAAACUCAAAGGAAUUGACGGGG